CUACGGGGGGCUCCAGUAAGGAAUAUUGGGCAAUGGGCGCAAGCCUGACCCAGCCAUGCCGCGUGCAGGAAGACGGCCUUAUGGGUUGUAAACUGCUUUUGUUAGGGAAUAAACCCCCGUACGUGUACGGGGCUGAAUGUACCUAAAGAAUAAGCAUCGGCUAACUCCGUGCCAGCAGCCGCGGUAAUACGGAGGAUGCAAGCGUUAUCCGGAUUCAUUGGGUUUAAAGGGUGCGCAGGCGGACUGAUAAGUCAGUGGUGAAAUCCUACGGCUCAACCGUAGAACUGCCAUUGAUACUGUCAGUCUUGAGUCUAGUUGAAGUGGGCGGAAUGUAGCAUGUAGCGGUGAAAUGCAUAGAUAUGCUACAGAACACCUAUUGCGAAGGCAGCUCACUAAACUAUAACUGACGCUCAUGCACGAAAGCGUGGGGAGCAAACAGGAUUAGAUACCCUGGUAGUC
rnacentral:rRNA from 1 species